UUCAGAUGUGGCCGCCCCGGCCACCUUGCUAAAGAGUGCACUCAGAAAAAGAGCCAGCUGGCUCUACCUUCAACUGGCCGUAACAAUCAGCCCCAUAACAACAAUGCCAGACCUUAUGGUCAUGGUCAGGCUAAUCAUAUUGAUCUGAAUGAAGCUCAAGGCCAGCCUGCCACUGUGAUGGGUACUCUCCUUGUUAAUUCAGUACCAGCUUCUGUUUUGUUUGAUUCAGGAGCAUCACAUUCAUUCAUGUCAGAAAAUUUUGCUUACGCACAUGACAUUCGAUGCGAGCCCAUGAACACUCCGAUAGUGGUACGCACCCCUGCGGGUCAGUGUCGAACUACCAUGAUUGGUCGCGACGUUCCUGUUGAAAUUGAAGGGUUGGAAUUCCUUGUUUCUCCCAUUAUUCUGGAGUCU
rnacentral:rRNA from 1 species